rnacentral:rRNA from 1 species
AAAGGAAUAGACGGGGACCCGCACAAGCGGUGGAGCAUGUGGUUUAAUUCGAAGCAACGCGAAGAACCUUACCAGGUCUUGACAUCCCUUGACAACUCCAGAGAUGGAGCGUUCCCUUCGGGGACAAGGUGACAGGUGGUGCAUGGUUGUCGUCAGCUCGUGUCGUGAGAUGUUGGGUUAAGUCCCGCAACGAGCGCAACCCUUAUUACUAGUUGCCAGCAUUCAGUUGGGCACUCUAGUGAGACUGCCGGUGACAAACCGGAGGAAGGUGGGGAUGACGUCAAAUCAUCAUGCCCCUUAUGACCUGGGCUACACACGUGCUACAAUGGCGUAUACAACGAGUUGCCAACCCGCGAGGGUGAGCUAAUCUCUUAAAGUACGUCUCAGUUCGGAUUGUAGGCUGCAACUCGCCUACAUGAAGUCGGAAUCGCUAGUAAUCGCGGAUCAGCACGCCGCGGUGAAUACGUUCCCGGGUCUUGCACACACCGCCCGU